GACGAACCGAGCGAACGUUUAUUCGGAAUCACUGGGGCUUAAAAGGGCGCGUAGGCGGGGCGGCCAAGUCAGGGGGUGAAAGCCCCCCAGCUCAACUGGGGGAAGUGCCUCUGAUACUGGUCGCCUCGAGGGAGAUAGGGGGCGUGCGGAACUUCCGGGUGGAGCGGUGAAAUGCGUAGAUAUCGGAAGGAACACCGGUGGCGAAAGCGGCGCGCUGGAUCUCUUCUGACGCUGAGGCG
rnacentral:rRNA from 1 species